rnacentral:sRNA from 1 species
GCUGGGUGCAGUGGCACACACCUGUAAUCCCAGCUUCUCGGGAGGCUGAGGUAGGAGGAUCUCAAGUUCAAGGCCAGCCUGAGCAACUUAGCAACGUGGAUCCUCUCUCAA